GGAGAAAAGGCCUGAGAGACGGCCAUUACUUCUAAGGAAGGCAGCAGGCGCGUAAAUUACCCAAUCCUAAUACGGGGAGGUAGUGACAAGAAAAUAUUGAUAUUGGACCCAAAGGGUACAAUGAUUGAAAUGAGAACAAUAUAAAAACUUAACGACUAACAAUUGGAGGGCAAGUCUGGUGCCAGCAGCCGCGGUAAUUCCAGCUCCAAGAGUGUAUAUUAAAGUUGUUGCGGUUAAAAAGCUCGUAGUUGAAUUUCUGAAAAUAAUCUUGUGAUUGAUUUAACCGUCAUGAACAAAAAUUGUUUACAUACUUGAUAGAUGGAAACAUUUAUCUUAAUGACUUUGAAAAAAUUAAGAGUGUUCAAAGCAUGAUUCACAUUUGAAUAAUACAGCAUGGGAUAAUAUAAUAUGACAUUAGUUAAAAUUUAGUUGG
rnacentral:rRNA from 1 species